ensembl:snoRNA D1007.20 ncRNA
UUAGCAUGCUGUUAGAGCUCGUAAGGUAUAUUGUAAUUUUACGAGUGUUGAAGUAUUGCAAAAGUAAAGCAUAAUCACCUUAUGUAUGUGUUGGUGCUAUAUCUUCUAGUUUUUAGAAGUUAUACCAUCGUUAAGCAUGCCACGUGUUGAGUGCGACAAAC